rnacentral:rRNA from 2 species
GGACUACCGGGGUUUCUAAUCCCGUUCGCUCCCCUGGCUUUCGCGCCUCAGCGUCAGGAGGGAUCCAGCAGCUCGCUUUCGCCACCGGCGUUCCUUCCGAUAUCUACGCAUUUCACCGCUCCACCGAAAGUUCCAGCUGCCCCUAUCCCGCUCGAGCUCCGCAGUCUCCGAGGCACUUCCCCAGUUGGGCUGGGGGCUUUCACCCCGGACUUGCGAAGCCGCCUACGCGCCCUUUAAGCCCAGUGAAUCCGAACAACGUUCGCACGGUUCGUCUUACCGCGGCGGCUGGCAC